GCCAAGCUGGCGUAGUGGCUAACGCAUCUGUCUGGUAAGCAGGAGACCCGGGUUCGAUUCCCGGCUUUGGAACA